CAUAGGUUAAUGAGGCGAACCGGGGGAACUGAAACAUCUAAGUACCCCGAGGAAAAGAAAUCAACCGAGAUUCCCCCAGUAGCGGCGAGCGAACGGGGAGCAGCCCAGAGCCUGAAUCAGUAUGUGUGUUAGUGGAAGCGUCUGGAAAGGCGCGCGAUACAGGGUGACAGCCCCGUACACAAAAAUGCACAUGCUGUGAGCUCGAUGAGUAGGGCGGGACACGUGGUAUCCUGUCUGAAUAUGGGGGGACCAUCCUCCAAGGCUAAAUACUCCUGACUGACCGAUAGUGAACCAGUACCGUGAGGGAAAGGCGAAAAGAACCCCGGCGAGGGGAGUGAAAAAGAACCUGAAACCGUGUACGUACAAGCAGUGGGAGCACGCUUAGGCGUGUGACUGCGUACCUUUUGUAUAAUGGGUCAGCGACUUAUAUUCUGUAGCAAGGUUAACCGAAUAGGGGAGCCGAAGGGAAACCGAGUCUUAACUGGGCGUUAAGUUGCAGGGUAUAGACCCGAAACCCGGUGAUCUAGCCAUGGGCAGGUUGAAGGUUGGGUAACACUAACUGGAGGACCGAACCGACUAAUGUUGAAAAAUUAGCGGAUGACUUGUGGCUGGGGGUGAAAGGCCAAUCAAACCGGGAGAUAGCUGGUUCUCCCCGAAAGCUAUUUAGGUAGCGCCUCGUGAAUUCAUCUCCGGGGGUAGAGCACU
rnacentral:rRNA from 1 species